CACGUAGGGUGCGAGCGUUGUCCGGAAUUAUUGCGCGUAAAGAGCUCGUAGGCGGUGUGUCGCGUCGGCCGUGAAAACCUGUGGCUUAACCAUGGGCUUGCGGUCGAUACGGGCAUCACUGGAGUUCGGCAGGGGAGACUGGAAUUCCUGGUGUAGCGGUGAAAUGCGCAGAUAUCAGGAGGAACACCGGUGGCGAAGGCGGGUCUCUGGGCCGAUACUGACGCUGAGGAGCGAAAGCGUGGGGAGCGAACAGG
rnacentral:rRNA from 1 species